AUGGCCUGGACUGUGCUCCUCCUCACCCUCCUCACUCAGGCCACAGGUUCCUGGGGCCAGUCUGCUCUGACUCAGCCUUCCUCAGUGUCUGGGGCUCUGGGACAGUCAGUCACCAUCUCCUGUGCUGGGACCAGCAAUGACAUUGGGCGUUAUAACUCUGUCUCCUGGCUCCAGCAGCUCCCUGGCAAGACACCCAAGCUCCUGAUUUAUGGUGUCAGUUCCCGGCCCUCAGGGAUCCCUGAUCGCUUCUCUGGCUCCAAGUCAGGCAACACGGCCACCUUGACCAUCUCUGGUCUCAAGCCUGAGGAUGAGGCUGAGUAUUAA